ACACUCCUGCGGGAGGCAGCAGUGGGGAAUAUUGCACAAUGGGCGCAAGCCUGAUGCAGCCAUGCCGCGUGUAUGAAGAAGGCCUUCGGGUUGUAAAGUACUUUCAGCGGGGAGGAAGGUGUUGAGGUUAAUAACCUCAGCAAUUGACGUUACCCGCAGAAGAAGCACCGGCUAACUCCGUGCCAGCAGCCGCGGUAAUACGGAGGGUGCAAGCGUUAAUCGGAAUUACUGGGCGUAAAGCGCACGCAGGCGGUCUGUCAAGUCGGAUGUGAAAUCCCCGGGCUCAACCUGGGAACUGCAUUCGAAACUGGCAGGCUAGAGUCUUGUAGAGGGGGGUAGAAUUCCAGGUGUAGCGGUGAAAUGCGUAGAGAUCUGGAGGAAUACCGGUGGCGAAGGCGGCCCCCUGGACAAAGACUGACGCUCAGGUGCGAAAGCGUGGGGAGCAAACAGGAUUAGAAACCCGUGUAGUCCCA
rnacentral:rRNA from 1 species